GAUGAAGAACGCAGCGAAAUGCGAUACUUGGUGUGAAUUGCAGAAUCUCGUGAACCAUCGAGUCUUUGAACGCAAGUUGCGCCCGAAGCCAUCAGGUUGAGGGCACGUCUGCCUGGGCGUCACAUAUCGUUGCCCAAUGCCUAUUGCAGUGCAAUAGGAAUUUCUAGGGCGAAUGAUGGCUUCCCGUGAGCGUUGUCGCCUCGCGGUUGGUUGAAAAUUGAGUCCUUGGUAGGGUGUGCCAUGGUAGAUGGUGGUCGAGUUAGAACGAUACCGAUCAUGUGCAUGCUCCCCAAAAUAUGGCCUCUAUGACCCACACGCGUCUUUUGACGCUCAUGACGAGACCUCAGGUCAGGCGGGGCUACCCGCUGAAUUUAAGCAUAUCAUAAGCGGAGGA
rnacentral:misc_RNA from 1 species